rnacentral:rRNA from 1 species
GAGUUUGAUCCUGGCUCAGAACGUACGCUGGCGGCACGCCUAACACAUGCAAGUCGAACGAAGUAGCAAUACUUAGUGGCAGACGGGUGAGUAACAUGUAGGUAUCUGCCCUUUGGCCUGGAAUAACACGAGGAAACUUGUGCUAAUACCGGAUAAGUCUUUACGGAGAAAGCUUUAUGCACCAUUGGAUGAGCCUGCACUUGAUUAGUUUGUUGGUGGGGUAAUGGCCUACCAAGACUGUGAUCAAUAGCUGAUUUGAGAGGAUGAUCAGCCACAUUGGGACUGAGACACGGCCCAAACUCCUACGGGAGGCAGCAGUGGGGAAUCUUGCACAAUGGAGGAAACUCUGAUGCAGCGAUGCCGCGUGAGUGAAGAAGGCCCUUGGGUUGUAAAGCUCUUUCGUCGGGGAAGAAAAUGACUGUACCCGAAUAAGAAGGUCCGGCUAACUUCGUGCCAGCAGCCGCGGUAAUACGAAGGGACCUAGCGUAGUUCGGAAUUACUGGGCUUAAAGAGUUCGUAGGUGGUUGAAAAAGUUAGUGGUGAAAUCCCAGAGCUUAACUCUGGAACUGCCAUUAAAACUUUUCAGCUAGAGUAUGAUAGAGGAAAGCAGAAUUUCUAGUGUAGAGGUGAAAUUCGUAGAUAUUAGAAAGAAUACCAAUUGCGAAGGCAGCUUUCUGGAUCAUUACUGACACUGAGGAACGAAAGCAUGGGUAGCGAAGAGGAUUAGAUACCCUCGUAGUCCAUGCCGUAAACGAUGUGUGUUAGACGUUGGAAAUUUAUUUUUCAGUGUCGCAGGGAAACCGAUAAAACACACCGCCUGGGGAGUACGACCGCAAGGUUAAAACUCAAAUGAAUUGACGGGGACCCGCACAAGUAGUGGAGCAUGUGGUUUAAUUCGAAGAUACGCGCAGAACCUUACCAACACUUGACAUGUCCGUCGCGACUCUAAGAGAUUAGAGUUUUCGGUUCGGCCGGACGAAACACAGGUGCUGCAUGGCUGUCGUCAGCUCGUGUCGUGAGAUGUUGGGUUAAGUCCCGCAACGAGCGCAACCCUCACUUUUAGUUGCCAUCAUUAAGUUGGGCACUCUGAAAGAACUGCCAGUGAUAAGCUGGAGGAAGGUGGGGAUGACGUCAAGUCCUCAUGGCCCUUACGUGUUGGGCUACACACGUGCUACAAUGGUAUCUACAACAGGAAGCAAGACUGCGAAGUUAAGCAAAUCCCUAAAAGAUACCUCAGUUCGGAUUGCACUCUGCAACUCGAGUGCAUGAAGCUGGAAUUACUAGUAAUCGUGGAUCAGCGUGCCACGGUGAAUGCGUUCCCGGGUCUUGUACACACCGCCCGUCACACCAUGGGAGUUGGUUCUACCUUAAGGCAAGGUUUUAAACCCUUGACCACGGUAUAGUCAGCGACUGGGGUGAAGUCGUAACAAGGUAACC